CCUACGGGUGGCAGCAGUGAGGAAUAUUGGUCAAUGGACGAGAGUCUGAACCAGCCAAGUAGCGUGAAGGAUGACUGCCCUAUGGGUUGUAAACUUCUUUUAUAUGGGAAUAAAACGUUCCACGUGUGGGAUUUUGUAUGUACCAUAUGAAUAAGGAUCGGCUAAAUCCGUGCCAGCAGCCGCGGUAAUACGGAGGAUCCGAGCGUUAUCCGGAUUUAUUGGGUUUAAAGGGAGCGUAGGUGGAUUGUUAAGGCAGUUGUGAAAGUUUGCGGCUCAACCGUAAAAUUGCAGUUGAAACUGGCAGUCUUGAGUACAGUAGAGGUGGGCGGAAUUCGUGGUGUAGCGGUGAAAUGCUUAGAUAUCACGAAGAACUCCGAUUGCGAAGGCAGUUCACUGGACUGCAACUGACACUGAGGCUCGAAAGUGUGGGUAUCAAACAGGAUUAGAUACCCUUGUAGUC
rnacentral:rRNA from 1 species